UACAGAGGGGGCAAGCGUUGUUCGGAAUUACUGGGCGUAAAGGGCGCGUAGGCGGCCUUCUAAGUCGAACGUGAAAUCCCCGGGCUCAACCCGGGAACUGCGUCCGAUACUGGAAGGCUUGAAUCCGGGAGAGGGAUGUGGAAUUCCAGGUGUAGCGGUGAAAUGCGUAGAUAUCGGGAGGAACACCCAUGGCGAAGGCAGCAAGCUGGGCGACACCUGACGCUGAGGCGCGAAAGCGUGGGUAGCAAACAGG
rnacentral:rRNA from 1 species